CAGGCCUAACACAUGCAAGUCGAGCGGGGAAAUGUAGCUUGCUACAUUACCUAGCGGCGGACGGGUGAGUAAUGCUUAGGAAUCUGCCUAUUAGUGGGGGACAACAUUCCGAAAGGAAUGCUAAUACCGCAUACGUCCUACGGGAGAAAGCAGGGGACCUUCGGGCCUUGCGCUAAUAGAUGAGCCUAAGUCGGAUUAGCUAGUUGGUGGGGUAAAGGCCUACCAAGGCGACGAUCUGUAGCGGGUCUGAGAGGAUGAUCCGCCACACUGGGACUGAGACACGGCCCAGACUCCUACGGGAGGCAGCAGUGGGGAAUAUUGGACAAUGGGGGGAACCCUGAUCCAGCCAUGCCGCGUGUGUGAAGAAGGCCUUUUGGUUGUAAAGCACUUUAAGCGAGGAGGAGGCUACUAGUAUUAAUACUACUGGAUAGUGGACGUUACUCGCAGAAUAAGCACCGGCUAACUCUGUGCCAGCAGCCGCGGUAAUACAGAGGGUGCGAGCGUUAAUCGGAUUUACUGGGCGUAAAGCGUGCGUAGGCGGCUGAUUAAGUCGGAUGUGAAAUCCCUGAGCUUAACUUAGGAAUUGCAUUCGAUACUGGUCAGCUAGAGUAUGGAAGAGGAUGGUAGAAUUCCAGGUGUAGCGGUGAAAUGCGUAGAGAUCUGGAGGAAUACCGAUGGCGAAGGCAGCCAUCUGGCCUAAUACUGACGCUGAGGUACGAAAGCAUGGGGAGCAAACAGGAUUAGAUACCCUGGUAGUCCAUGCCGUAAACGAUGUCUACUAGCCGUUGGGGCCUUUGAGGCUUUAGUGGCGCAGCUAACGCGAUAAGUAGACCGCCUGGGGAGUACGGUCGCAAGACUAAAACUCAAAUGAAUUGGCGGGGGCCCGCACAAGCGG
rnacentral:rRNA from 1 species